AUGUUAUUUUUAACCGGAUUUUUGUGACAAAAAUGUCGGUUAUUGAUUUGGGGAUGUACGGCGGGCGGGCGGGCGGGCGGUCGGGCAGUCGGGCGGCGCGGCGGGCGGGCGGCGGGCGGCAAUCAAAUGUUGUCCGUGCAUUAACUCAUGAACCGUUCAACCAAAGCUUUUAAAAUUUUAAUAUGUUAUUACUGACAACUAUUCGAAGGUCAAGUUCAAUAAUGGCGAUUUUGACUUUUACCGUUCAGGAGUUAUGGUUCUUGAAAGAUUGAAAAAUGGAGUUGUCCGUGCAUUUACGCAUGAACUGUUCUACCAAAGCUUCCCAAAUUUUAAUAUGUUGUUACUUAUGAAAGAAUGGAGGUCAAGUUCAAUAAUGACGAAUUUGACUUUUACCGUUCAGGAGUUAUGGUUCUUGAAAGAUUGAAAAAUGGAGUUUCCAGUCGUGUCCGUGCAUUUAUGCAUGAACUGUUCUACCAAAGCUUCCGAAAUUUUAAUAUGCUGUUACUGAUGACAAAAUGGAGGUCAAGUUUAAUAAUGACGAUUUUGACUUUUACCGUUCAGGAGUUAUGGUUCUUGAAAGAUUGAAAAAUGGUGUUUCCCGUCGUGUCUGUGCAUUUUCUCAUGAACCAUUCAACCAAAGCUUUUGAAAUUUUAAUAUGUUGUUAGGGAUGACAAAAUAGAGGUCAAGUUCAAUAAUGACGAUUUUGACUUUUACCGUUCAGGAGUUAUGGUUCUUGAAAGAUUGUAAAAUGGCGUUUCCAUUCAGGUUGUUGCAUUUACUCAUGAACCAUUCAAUCUAAGCUUUUCAAAUUUUAAUAUGUUGAUACUGAUGACAAAAUGGAGGUCAAAUUUGAUAUUGACGAUUUUCACUUUCACCAUUCAUCAGUAAUGGUUCUUGUGAUAUUGCCAGGACACAAAUAAAUGUUAAUAAAUCCGGUUUGCUGUCGUUGUGACAGCCUCUUGUCAUUU
rnacentral:lncRNA from 1 species